rnacentral:rRNA from 1 species
UUCCGGUUGAUCCUGCCGGAGGUUACUGCUAUCGGGGUUCGAUUAAGCCAUGCAAGUUAAAUGUUUUUCGUAAACAUAGCGAACUGCUCAGUAACACGUGGAUAACUUAACCUUAGGUCCGGCAUAACCCCGGGAAACUGGGGAUAAUUCCGGAUGUAUCAAGGAUGCUGGAAUGCCCUUUGGUUCAAAGCUUUUGUGCCUAAGGAUAGGUCUGCGGUCUAUCAGGUUGUAGUGGGUGUAACGUACCUACUAGCCGACGACGGAUACGGGUUGUGAGAGCAAGAGCCCGGAGAUGGAUUCUGAGACAAGAAUCCAGGCCCUACGGGGUGCAGCAGGCGCGAACACUUUACAAUGCGGGAAACCGCGAUAAGGGAACCCCGAGUGCCAGUACUAAGUGCUGGCUGUCUAGAUGAAUAGAUAUCAUUUAAUAGCAAGGGCCGGGCAAGACCGGUGCCAGCCGCCGCGGUAACACCGGCGGCCCGAGUGGUAACCGAUAUUAUUGGGUCUAGAGGGUCCGUAGCCUGUUUAAUAAGUCCUUUGGGAAAUCUGGCAGCUUAACUGUCAGGCUGCUAAAGGAUACUGUUAAACUUGGGACCGGUAGACGUAGGGGGUACUCCAGGGGUAGGAGUGAAAUCUUGUAAUCCCUGGGGGACCAUCUGUGGCGAAGGCGCCCUACGAGAACGGGUCCGACGGUGAGGGACGAAAGCUAGGGGAGCAAACCGGAUUAGAUACCCGGGUAGUCCUAGCUGUAAACGAUGCUCGCUAGGUGUCAGGCACGGUGCGUCCGUGUCUGGUGCCGCAGGGAAGCCGUUAAGCGAGCCACCUGGGGAGUACGGUCGCAAGGCUGAAACUUAAAGGAAUUGGCGGGGGAGCACUACAACGGGUGGAGCCUGCGGUUUAAUUGGAUUCAACGCCGGA